rnacentral:rRNA from 1 species
UACGUAGGGGGCAAGCGUUGUCCGGAAUCAUUGGGCGUAAAGCGCGUGUAGGCGGUUCGGUAAGUCUGCUGUGAAAGUCCAGGGCUCAACCCUGGGAUGCCGGUGGAUACUGUCGGGCUAGAGUGCGGAAGAGGCGAGUGGAAUUCCCGGUGUAGCGGUGAAAUGCGCAGAUAUCAGGAAGAACACCCGUGGCGAAGGCGGCUCUCUGGGACGGUACUGACGCUGAGACGCGAAAGCGUGGGGAGCGAACAGG